rnacentral:rRNA from 1 species
UGAUCCAGCAUGCCGCGUGUGUGAAGAAGGCCUUCGGGUUGUAAAGCACUUUUAUCAGGAGCGAAAUACUAUCGGUUAAUAACCGGUGGGGCUGACGGUACCUGAGGAAUAAGCACCGGCUAACUUCGUGCCAGCAGCCGCGGUAAUACGAAGGGUGCAAGCGUUAAUCGGAAUUACUGGGCGUAAAGGGUGCGUAGGCGGUUAGUUAAGUCUGUUGUGAAAUCCCCGGGCUCAACCUGGGAAUGGCAAUGGAUACUGGCUAGCUAGAGUGUGUCAGAGGAUGGUGGAAUUCCCGGUGUAGCGGUGAAAUGCGUAGAGAUCGGGAGGAACAUCAGUGGCGAAGGCGGCCAUCUGGGACAACACUGACGCUGAAGCACGAAAGCGUGGGGAGCAAACAGGAUUAGAUACCCUGGUAGUCCACGCCCUAAACGAUGCGAACUGGAUGUUGGUCUCAACUCGGAGAUCAGUGUCGAAGCUAACGCGUUAAGUUCGCCGCCUGGGGAGUACGGUCGCAAGACUGAAACUC